rnacentral:rRNA from 1 species
AACGAACGCUGGCGGCAUGCCUAACACAUGCAAGUCGAACGAGACCUUCGGGUCUAGUGGCGCACGGGUGCGUAACGCGUGGGAACCUGCCCUUAGGUUCGGAAUAACUCCCCGAAAGGGGUGCUAAUACCGGAUAAUGUCUUCGGACCAAAGAUUUAUCGCCUUUGGAUGGGCCCGCGUUGGGUUAGCUAGUUGGUAGGGUAAAAGCCUACCAAGGCGACGAUCCAUAGCUGGUCUGAGAGGAUGAUCAGCCACACUGGGACUGAGACACGGCCCAGACUCCUACGGGAGGCAGCAGUGGGGAAUAUUGGACAAUGGGCGAAAGCCUGAGCCAGCAAUGCCGCGUGAGUGAUGAAGGCCUUAGGGUUGUAAAGCUCUUUUACCCGGGAUGAUAAUGACAGUACCGGGAGAAUAAGCUCCGGCUAACUCCGUG